CAGCCGCCACGGUAAAACAGAGGAUGCAAGCGUUAUCCGGAAUGAUUGGGCGUAAAGCGUCUGUAGGUGGCUUUUCAAGUCCGCCGUCAAAUCCCAGGGCUCAACCCUGGACAGGCGGUGGAAACUACCAAGCUAGAGUACGGUAGGGGCAGAGGGAAUUUCCGGUGGAGCGGUGAAAUGCGUUGAGAUCGAAAAGAACACCAACGACGAAAGCACUCUGCUGGGUCGACACUGACACUGAGAGACGAAAGCUAGGGGAGCAAAUGGGAUUAGAUACCCCUGUAGUCCCUGUCUCUUAUAC
rnacentral:rRNA from 1 species